rnacentral:rRNA from 1 species
UACGUAGGGGGCAAGCGUUGUCCGGAAUCAUUGGGCGUAAAGAGCGUGUAGGCGGCCCGGUAAGUCCGCUGUGAAAGUCCAGGCUCAACCCUGGGAUGCCGGUGGAUACUGUCGGGCUCGAGUCCGGAAGAGGAGUGUGGAAUUCCUGGUGUAGCGGUGAAAUGCGCAGAUAUCAGGAGGAACACCGGUGGCGAAGGCGGGUCUCUGGGCCGAUGACUGACGCUGAGGAGCGAAAGCGUGGGGAGCGAACAGG